GCGGCGGACGGGUGAGUAACACGUGGGCAACCUGCCCUGCAGACUGGGAUAACUUCGGGAAACCGGAGCUAAUACCGGAUAACACCGAAAACCGCAUGGUUUUCGGUUGAAAGGCGGCUUUUAGCUGUCACUGCAGGAUGGGCCCGCGGCGCAUUAGCUAGUUGGUGAGGUAACGGCUCACCAAGGCGACGAUGCGUAGCCGACCUGAGAGGGUGACCGGCCACACUGGGACUGAGACACGGCCCAGACUCCUACGGGAGGCAGCAGUAGGGAAUCUUCCGCAAUGGACGAAAGUCUGACGGAGCAACGCCGCGUGAGCGAAGAAGGUCUUCGGAUCGUAAAGCUCUGUUGUCAGGGAAGAACAAGUGCCGUUCGAACAGGGCGGUACCUUGACGGUACCUGACGAGAGAAGCCACGGCUAACUACGUGCCAGCAGCCGCGGUAAUAC
rnacentral:rRNA from 49 species